GACGCUGUUACCGGAGUAACACGCACAUUUUUAGACAGAUGGGAGAGAAUCCAAAGACGCCUCUUGCGUUCUAUAUUCUCAGUGCAUGCGGUUGAACGUGACGGAUAAAUAUUCAGGGUGUACCUUUGGCUGCAUCCGAGUUCACCUCGGCGCCUGGUAAGAGUGAAGAGGUCACAGAGACAAAUAAAACGCUCACAGCAUGUGUUGUGACUUCACAUAGGGCCACAUAGAGAGGAAGACAUGCGAGAGGCUGUGAGAGGCCGGACGUGUGUAGGAAAGUGAGUGCGGGAGAUUGAGAGACACUUUCAAAAGAUUUCACCAAUGAUGUGAUUUCCAUCUCCAUAUGAAAUCAGAGAUCCUUUCGGCCAACGGAGCGACUGCACCUUUUUGGAUUCGGAUAGCUAUUUGGUGCUCAUAAACGGACAGGGUGUGCGCGCGCCGUAGCUCGUUGUUGCUAUCGACUCGCUCGAUACUUUUUCCAGCAAGUCAUGUCUUACCCAGAGCUAUGGGUAAGUUCGACGACAACGAGAGGAUAAUCCUCAAUGUUGGGGGAACCAGGCACGAAACAUACCGAACCACAUUAAGGACUCUGCCAGGCACACGGUUGGCUCUCCUCGCCUCCGAUUCUGACAUCGAGUCUGUUCUGGACCACCUGCAACAAGUUCCUGGCUUUAUUGAGUACAAUGCGCGUAACAACGAAUACUUUUUCGAUCGCCACCCGGGAGUUUUCGCAUAUGUCCUCAACUACUACAGGACCGGGAAACUCCACUGCCCGGCAGAUGUCUGCGGUCCACUCUUCGAGGAAGAGUUGUCAUUUUGGGGCAUCGAUGAGACGGACGUGGAGCCUUGCUGCUGGAUGACUUAUCGCCAGCACAGGGACGCAGAGGAGGCUCUCGAUGUCUUUGAAAUGAACGUGGACAACGGGGACGAUGAGGAUGAGAUUGGGAAAAGACUAGGUAUCGAAGAUGUAUCUCCCACUCAUGGCAAUGUCAGCUUUUGGAAAAAGUGGCAACCGGUGAUGUGGAAUCUAUUCGAAGAUCCCUACUCUUCCAGGGCAGCAAGGUUUGUGGCCCUUGCCUCCUUGUUUUUCAUCAUGGUCUCCAUCACCACGUUCUGCCUGGAGACACACGAGGCGUUCAACACCAUCAUCAACAAGACGGACGCGACCCGCAGCAAUGACAGCACGCUGGAUGCGGGCCCGCAGUACGAGAUCGAAACCGACCCGGCGCUCACCUACGUGGAGGGCGUUUGCGUCUUGUGGUUCACCCUCGAGUUCCUGGUGCGCGUGAUGUUCUGCCCGGACAAGCUGGAGUUCGUCAAGAGUUUGCUCAACAUCAUCGACUUCGUGGCCAUCCUGCCCUUCUACCUGGAGGUCAGCCUGAGCGGGCUGUCCUCGAAGGCGGCCAAGGACGUGCUGGGCUUCCUGCGCGUGGUGCGCUUUGUGCGCAUUCUGCGUAUCUUCAAGCUGACCCGCCACUUCGUGGGACUGCGCGUGCUGGGCCACACGCUCCGCGCCAGCCUCAACGAGUUCCUCCUGCUGGUCAUCUUCCUCUCGCUGGGCGUGCUCAUCUUCGCCACCAUGAUCUACUACGCCGAGCGCAUCGGCGCCAACCCCGCCGACCCCACCGCCAGCGACCACACCAUGUUCAAGAACAUCCCCAUCGGCUUCUGGUGGGCCGUGGUCACCAUGACCACGCUGGGCUACGGCGACAUGUAUCCGCAGACGUGGUCGGGCAUGCUGGUGGGCGCCCUGUGCGCCCUGGCCGGCGUGUUGACCAUCGCCAUGCCCGUGCCCGUCAUCGUCAACAACUUUGGCAUGUACUACUCGCUGGCCAUGGCCAAACAGAAGCUGCCCAAGAAGAGGAAGAAGCACAUACCGCAGGGCGGCGCGCACGCUGGCUCGCCCACCUACUGCAAGGCCGAGCUGCACGCCACCUGCAACAGCACGCAGGGAGACCUGUGCCUGGGUACAGGGCCCAGGAUGCUGGAGCGCAACCGAUCAGUGCUGUCGGCUGACUGCAGCGGAGGAAGUGACAUCACCACAUCACCAGAGGAGCGCAUGCCCAUGCGGCGCUCAAGUACGAGGGAGCAGGACCGGCGCAGCGGGGGCACUUGCUUUCUGCUCGCCGCCAGUGACUACACCUGCCCAGCCGACGGAGGCAUCCGCAAGACAGGCUAUGAGAAGUCGCGGAGCUUAAACAACAUAGCAGGCCUGGCUGGUAACACGCUGAGGCUGUCUCCGGUGACCUCGCCCUACGGCUCACCCUGUCCACUGCGGCGCUCGCGGUCCCCCAUCCCGUCUAUUCUGUGAAGUCCCCCACCCUGGCGUGACAGGUGUCCAUACCUGUGCCUGUACAAAAAUAUCUCAAAUCCCUCUUAGUGGAAGACCCCCCUCCACCCAUACACUUACCUCUGUAGAGUAGCAUAAAGGACAUUGUAUAUGUUAGUAAUUUGUAAAUAUGAAAGGUCAUUAUAUUGGCAUUUGCCUAAAAAAGAAUUUAGAGUUCCCUUCUAUUUGAAAUGCUUCUACUAGAUGUGGCUGCUGUCAUUGUAAAUUAUCCUGAUUCACAUUUGUUCUGACCAUUAUCUCUGGCAAUAAAAAAGGACUCUUAUCUGACAGCUCCACAUGUAGUACUGUAGCUUCGAUGUUGUAUAAGGACAAAGCUCCAAAUUCAGGGAGAAGAAUGGUGUAUAUGUAGCGAUGUUUUUCAUGACAUGAAAAGGAAAUGUGCUUCCACGAAAAGUAAAGGAAAACCAGGAAUGCGAAAUGGUAGAUGUUGCUCCAGCUGGACCUCACGUGUGUGUGUGUGUGUGUGUGUGUGCGUGAGUGUGUGUGUGUGUGUGUGACCUUUCAUCCAUGCUUCUGUUUGUCUGGUUCUCUUGAGAUGGCGCGCUGUUUGUCUUGGACUCCUUGUCUUGGCUCGCUGGCGCACACGGCCACGGUCACCACUCCACUCCGUUCUGCACCGCACUCGCCUCUGCCGCUCUCUCUCUCUCUCUCUCUCUCUCUCUCUAUCUAUCUUUCCUUCUCGAGCCUGGCCUAGUUUGCAUGGAUCAUCCCUCUUCAUCGUCCACAAGCACUACGGCCGCCAACAAAGACUAAUCACAAAAUACCAAACCAACGCCAGGAGUGGGAGAGACAUUUUAAAAACCGGACAGAGACUAAACAACACUCUAGGGCUUGCUCUUGGGGGACACUGGACUUUCAUGUGUGUGUACUGUAUGCUCAGGGAAACCCAUGGAUUCGGACACGUUGCCAUGGUGUUGAAACCCAGGACUGUAAUCCUCCGCUCUUGGGCAAGAACACUGUCUGGGGAUUGGACGCCAGCGCGUCAACAGGAAGUGGAGCACUGUUCAUGUUUCAUUCGGAUUCCUUGAAAAAACAAAGAUUGGCUGGACAGUUUAUUUUUUAUUUUUUUGGUGUUUGCUCCUACGUCCAAUUGCUGUUGUCCACAAGGAGUGAAUCUGCAAACUAAGGACAUUGUAAACACACAGAUACUGACAAAUAUAACAGCGGCAACAGACGGACACAAAAUAAAGACACUAUUCACCUAAAGGCCGAUACCCUGGUCCUCCAUACAUGCUACAAAACUGUACAUACUACAGGAAACCCUAGAGUGCAUCUGUACAACCAUGUCCAGUGCAUUAUAUGUCUUUUUACUAGUGGGGCAGCUCCAUCUUGUGCAGUGAUCAGACUCACAUCUUGCCACCCUUACUAGCCAUGGCUUCUUUCCUUGCAAUAAGUGUACUAAGAUGUGUAGGCUUUGAGGCACUUAUAGGGGUUAUUCAUGAAGGUCACUGGCAAUGAGUCAGUGAUGGUAGGGGCCUGCUUUUAGCACAACAGACAGCGUCAUGACUCGCAUAAGACGAUCGCCGUUUGAUUUCUUAAACCGUGUCGACGGAUUACAGUGUUUUCUCCACCAUUAUUUCCAUGUGAUUCAUGUCAAAAUUACCAUCAAAUAAAGCAAAACAUGGACAAUCUGUGAUGGGUUGAAUCACAUGGUAGUGUUGCUGCUAUUUUAUCAGAAAACAAAAUCAAAACCUAACUAAACAAAAAGAACUCAUGGCUUUGUAGGAGUAACUGAGAGGCUUUUUUCUAUAGUUUUCCCCCUCUUAAUCUUACAGAGGCACACAAACACACACACACACCACAACUUGUUUGUGAUGUUUUUUAUUAAAACAAUAAUUUAGGAUCAGGACAUUUAGCUCACUAAAGUGCCAUCUAAAGUUUAAAACGACGCAGACUGAGCUUAUGUACUGUAGAGGAAGACACAGUUUGAUUGUUACCUCUUGCACACUAUCAAAGCAAAGAGAGUGUCUUUGCUAAAAUUAUAAUUUAACGAUUUCUUUAUUGGUCAAACUGUUUAAGACUUUGCGAGCCAACAUAGGCAGUGAUCCAUCAAAGGUCAAAAUCCCUGUGCACAGCCCUUCUUUUUUCCAGGUGCUGAUGAUGUGCAGUAGAACCAUUGAAACUUAAAAAAGAGUAUACAUCGCACACUGGAGGAUAUCUUUUUGACGAUUUUAUUCGCGUUCACGCAAAUAAAAUCGACAAAAAGAUAUCCUCUAGUGUGCGAUAUGUACUCUUCUUUGAAGUUUCAAUAGGCAGUGAUCCAUUUAUGAACGAGCUGGGAUUACUUGUGACUGCCAAAUGAUGUGCCUCUACCAUACAGCUUAAUGAAUAGCCCCCAGAGUGUUGACAACAAGUAGAUUAUUACUAAAUCCAGUUUACUAAAACAAAUAUACUAAGCAUAGGAAGGAACAUUAUGUGGUAAGUUGAAUAAAUAUGAUAUACAGCCAUCAGUGCUUCUGUUCCUUUUAAUAGUUCCAGUGGAUUUAAUGCUCCUGUGUGUGUGUGUGUGUGUGUGUGUGUGAUUGAACAUUGGAUAUGAUCCAACAAAAUUGAAGCCCAGUCCUGAAUCCCAUUCUAUUUCAGUGCAGGAUUGCCAGCUUCCAGUAACAGUUGAAUCUGGCAUCUUCAAGAUUUUCUUGAAAACAGCCCAUCAAAAAGGAUUCUGAUCCUAUUUGCAAUAACGUUCCAAAAUGAAUUGCACCGAUUCACACUGUGAUGUCAACGUCAUUCAACUGACACAGUCUCAACACUGGGAGAAGAAGUUCAUUUAAAAAAUGAUUGUAGCACAAUCCAAGUGCUGGACCCAAAAUAUUAGCUUUGGGUAUUCCCCCAGUCAUUUCAGCCUCAGAGAGAUUAUACGUGUCACAUCAGAAUGGCUUGCAUUGUGUUCAUAAGGUGUGUGUGUGAGUGUGUGUGUGUGUGUGUGUGUGUGUGUGUGUUGUGUGUGUGUUUCUGAGAGUGAGAGCAUCUGAUUAGGAAGAGAGUAGAAAAAACAGUCUGUGUUUGUGUGUGUGUGUCUCUCUCUAUGUGUAUUUGUUAAAUUUAUGAAACUGGAGGGUAUAACGUUCUCUGUAUUAAAUUACCUGCUGCUUAUACUCCUAACAGAAUACAGGGCACAGCUACAAAAGGUAUUUAUGGCAAAAAAAAAAUGUAAAGGCAUUUAUUUUUGGAGCCAGAUCUGUGUAUUUUGUGUGUGUCUCCUGUUGAGUACAUUAGACUGGUUAUGUGUCAUAUUUAUGAUUGUCCAGUGAUGUUUUCACUUUUGUGUGUCCAAAACUUUCAAGACUUUGAUCAGAUGAUCAUGUUCUGUACAAUGAAAUGUCAGUCUCCUCUGUGUGUGUGUGUGUGUGUGUGUGUGUGUGUGCGUGUGUGUGUGCGUGUGUAUGUGUGUGUGUGUGUGUUGGGGGGGGGGGGGGGGUGAAGAAAUCUAGCUUUGGUUUUGUGUUGUGAACUCAUUUUUUGGCAGUUGGAAGUGCAUGCAAACUACUGUAGAUAAGGCUAAACAUUGUAAGAAACUGUAAGUAAAAAACAUUCAUCCCAUGAAGCCAAUGUGUAUAGAGUGAAAUGCAAUG